CGAAACCUUAAAAUGGAAAAUACAACACAGCAAGAUAUUUAAAAGAUUUAUAGAGUUUGUGAUUUACAUUUUUAUAAUCAAGAUUACGUACCUGGAAUAAAAAGAGGUUUAGAAGUUAAUUAUCUUCCAAGUGACUUUUUAUAUACACCAGUUUAUAUGGAUGAUCAACCUACUGGUAAUUUGGUAUCCAGUGAUGUCGAUCCAGGUACAAACCUUGUAUUUAAAAACAAACAUUUGUUGUAGAACUUGUUGGUGGACCACUCUCUCGUUGGAAUUAGACUUGUACUGUUACCUGAGAAAAGCAGUAACUGAAAAGGAGAAAGGAUCAGAUAUCCCAAAACCAGGAAUCUUCCAGAGUG